rnacentral:tRNA from 1 species
GUGCCUAUAGUUUAGUGGUAGAACAGCGGAUUGUGGUUCCGUGAGUCCGGGUUCGAUUCCCGGUAGGCACCCCA